rnacentral:rRNA from 1 species
AUUGAACGCUGGCGGCAUGCUUUACACAUGCAAGUCGGACGGCAGCGGGGGUGCUUGCACCUGCCGGCGAGUGGCGAACGGGUGAGUAACAUAUUGGAAUGUACCGAGUAGUGGGGGAUAACCAAUCGAAAGAUUGGCUAAUACCGCAUACGUCCUGAGGGGGAAAGCAGGGGAUCUUCGGACCUUGCGCUAUUUGAGCAGCCAAUAUCUGAUUAGCUAGUUGGUGGGGUAAAGGCCCACCAAGGCGACGAUCAGUAGCGGGUCUGAGAGGAUGAUCCGCCACACUGGGACUGAGACACGGCCCAGACUCCUACGGGAGGCAGCAGUGGGGAAUUUUGGACAAUGGGGGCAACCCUGAUCCAGCCAUGCCGCGUGUCUGAAGAAGGCCUUCGGGUUGUAAAGGACUUUUGUUAGGGAAGAAAAGGGAAGUGCUAAUACCACUUUUUGCUGACGGUACCUAAAGAAUAAGCACCGGCUAACUACGUGCCAGCAGCCGCGGUAAUACGUAGGGUGCGAGCGUUAAUCGGAAUUACUGGGCGUAAAGCGAGCGCAGACGGUUACUUAAGCAGGAUGUGAAAUCCCCGGGCUCAACCUGGGAACUGCGUUCUGAACUGGGUAGCUAGAGUAUGUCAGAGGGGGGUAGAACUCCACGUGUAGCAGUGAAAUGCGUAGAGAUGUGGAGGAAUACCGAUGGCGAAGGCAGCCCCCUGGGAUAAUACUGACGUUCAUGCUCGAAAGCGUGGGUAGCAAACAGG